GAUGAGCGCUGGCGGCGUGCCUAAUACAUGCCAGUCGAGCGAACAGACGAGGAGCUUGCUCCUCUGACGUUAGCAGCGGACGGGUGAGUAACACGUGGAUAACCUACCUAUAAGACUGGGAUAACUUCGGGAAACCGGAGCUAAUACCGGAUAAUAUAUUGAACCGCAUGGUUCAAUAGUGAAAGACGGUUUUGCUGUCACUUAUAGAUGGAUCCGCGCCGCAUUAGCUAGUUGGUAAGGUAACGGCUUACCAAGGCAACGAUGCGUAGCCGACCUGAGAGGGUGAUGGGCCACACUGGAACUGGACAACGGUCAGACCCCCUACGGGGGGAAGAAGGGGGGAAUCUUCCGCAAGGGGCGAAAGCCUGAGGGAGCAACGCCGGGGGGGGGAUGAAGGGUUUGGGAUCGAAAAACUCUGUUUUUGGGGAAAAAAAAAUGUGUAAGUAACUAUGCACGUUUUGACGGUCCCUAAUAAGAAAGCCCCGGCUAACUACGG
rnacentral:rRNA from 1 species